rnacentral:rRNA from 1 species
UCAGUCGACUCCUACGGGGAGGCAGCAGUGGGGGAAUAGUUGCACAAUGGGCGCAAGCCUGAUGCAGCCAUGCCGCGUGUGUGAAGAAGGCCUUCGGGUUGUUAAAGCACUUUCAGUCGUGAGGAAGGUAGUGUAGUUAAUAGCUGCAUUAUUUGACGUUAGCGACAGAAGAAGCACCGGCUAACUCCGUGCCAGCAGCCGCGGUAAUACGGAGGGUGCGAGCGUUAAUCGGAAUUACUGGGCGUAAAGCGCAUGCAGGUGGUUUGUUAAGUCAGAUGUGAAAGCCCGGGGCGUCAACCUCGGAAUUGCAUUUGAAACUGGCAGACUAGAGUACUGUAGAGGGGGGUAGGAAUUUCAGGUGUAGCGGUGAAAUGCGUGGAGAUCUGAAGGAAUACCGGUGGCGAAGGCGGCCCCCUCGGACAGAUACUGACACUCAGAUGCGAAAGCGUGGGGAGCAAACAGGAUUAGAUACCCUGGUAG